UACAGGGGGGGCAAGCGUUGUUCGGAAUUACUGGGCGUAAAGGGCGCGUAGGCGGCCCGCUAAGUCGAACGUGAAAUCCCCGAGCUCAACUCGGGAACUGCGUCCGAUACUGGUGGGCUUGAAUCCGGGAGAGGGAUGCGGAAUUCCAGGUGUAGCGGUGAAAUGCGUAGAUAUCUGGAGGAACACCGGUGGCGAAGGCGGCAUCCUGGACCGGCAUUGACGCUGAGGCGCGAAAGCUAGGGGAGCAAACGGG
rnacentral:rRNA from 1 species